UACGUAGGGUGCAAGCGUUAAUCGGAAUUACUGGGCGUAAAGCGUGCGCAGGCGGUUAUAUAAGACAGUUGUGAAAUCCCCGGGCUCAACCUGGGAACUGCAUCUGUGACUGUAUAGCUAGAGUACGGUAGAGGGGGAUGGAAUUCCGCGUGUAGCAGUGAAAUGCGUAGAUAUGCGGAGGAACACCGAUGGCGAAGGCAAUCCCCUGGACCUGUACUGACGCUCAUGCACGAA
rnacentral:rRNA from 1 species